UCAUUUGCCACUUCUCCGCCCCUCUGCCUUGUGGCAGACGGCGCUGAAAUGUUUAAUGCCCUCUCCCACCCGCAGCAGGCCUACGGAGGUGGCUAACAGCUAAGCUAACGCCACUGUUAAAUAUUUUGGGUUCGCACCAUCCACCUCAUGCACAAUAUCAGGCAUUUCCGAGGAGGUGCACACACGAUGACUCACAACACAAACAACACUUACUGCCUGAGCGGACGAGGUCAUCCCAGGACACGCAGCAGCUGAGGGCGAGCCAGACGGAACCAGUGCGGCACGGAGCAGGGGGGAAGGCGAAGGUGGGAGAGCACAACAAGGCACAAUUCUUUACAAACGGCGCUCAAAUUGGGGCCGACGUGCCAAAAAAAACGACUGCCACUGUUUGUUCACGUAUUUGUGAGAAGAUCCUCGUGGAGUUCACCAUUUGACUACAAACACCGCUGGCAACGGCGCCGAUUUCACUGUCCUGAAAAAGGUUGGAAUGUGCCAAACUUCAACCUGAACGCUCCCCUUAUCCCAAACUUUUAUCGUCUUGUAUCUGUAACUUUAUGUUGUCACACAUUUACAACUUCGGCGACCACCACGCUAUAAAGACCACCGGCACAGUCAGACACCCCCUCCCUCCUCCUCCUCCCCCCCCCGCUGCUGCUGCUGUUGCCGCCGCCGCCGCUGGUGGUGGAUCCUCACACGACCUCGACAGGACGCCUCACAGUAACGGCUGCAGACAUAAGAAAAAAAAAAGAAAAAAAACACUCACCCCCUCGCUGGGAAGUUGAUGCAGGGUGAGGACGAUGGUUCACAGGAGGAGACGCCGCGCUCUCUCUCCGCGCUUUUCCUCUCUCCAGCUCCGGGCAGCCAUUCAGUUUAAGCGGAACGCCGAGAGCAGAGCCAUGGAGGGCGGUACUGUAUCCCGAGGGAUUGCGGAACACAGAGCCACUGAUCGCGCAGAGCAGGAGAGGAGGAAGACGAGCAUGACGCGCUCGUCAUUCAAACCAUUGAGCGCUCCGAGCGCAGCCUCAUUUUGGGGGAGACCUAACCCACAGCAGACUGUUAGCGCAUUGGCACAGCAAAGGAACAACUCACUCCCUGACUCUCCCUCUCUCUCCCUCUUAGCCUACGAGUGGUAGGAUUGGGAAAAGUAGGCCGUGCUUGUACAAUUAUCUCGUGAACUAGUCAUAUAAUAAAGCUCGUAAAAAUUG